rnacentral:snRNA from 1 species
GUCUCCUCUGGCAGCACAUAUCCUGUCCUUGGAACAGUACAGAGGAGAUAGGCAUGGCCCCUGCACAAGUGUGGUAUGGAUUAAUGAAGCAGCUGGCCUGGUUUUC